rnacentral:rRNA from 1 species
AGUUUUCGGAUGGAUUUAAAGCAGCUUAGUGGCGGACGGGUGAGUAACGCGUGGGUAACCUGCCUCACACUGGGGGAUAACAGUUAGAAAUAGCUGCUAAUACCGCAUAAGCGCACAGUUCCGCAUGGAACAGUGUGAAAAACUCCGGUGGUGUGAGAUGGACCCGCGUCUGAUUAGCCAGUUGGCGGGGUAACGGCCCACCAAAGCGACGAUCAGUAGCCGGCCUGAGAGGGUGAACGGCCACAUUGGGACUGAGACACGGCCCAAACUCCUACGGGAGGCAGCAGUGGAGAAUAUUGCACAAUGGGGGAAACCCUGAUGCAGCGACGCCGCGUGAGUGAAGAAGUAUUUCGGUAUGUAAAGCUCUAUCAGCAGGGAAGAAAGUGACGGUACCUGAAUAAGAAGCCCCGGCUAACUACGUGCCAGCAGCCGCGGUAAUACGUAGGGGGCAAGCGUUAUCCGGAUUUACUGGGUGUAAAGGGAGCGUAGACGGCAAGGCAAGUCUGAAGUGAAAGCCCGGUGCUUAACGCCGGGACUGCUUUGGAAACUGUUUGGCUGGAGUGCCGGAGAGGUAAGCGGAAUUCCUAGUGUAGCGGUGAAAUGCGU